GACGAACGCUGGCGGCGUGCUUAACACAUGCAAGUCGAGCGGAAAGGCCACUUCGGUGGUACUCGAGCGGCGAACGGGUGAGUAACACGUGAGUAAUCUGCCCCUGGCUUUGGGAUAGCCACCGGAAACGGUGAUUAAUACCGGAUAUGACCACUUCACGCAUGUGAUGGUGGUGGAAAGUUUUUCGGCCAGGGAUGUGCUCGCGGCCUAUCAGCUUGAUGGUGAGGUAAUGGCUCACCAUGGCUU
rnacentral:rRNA from 1 species